UCGUAACAAGGUUUCCGUAGGUGAACCUGCGGAAGGAUCAUUGUCGUGACCCUGACCAAAACAGACCGCGCACGCGUCAUCCAAUCCGUCGGUGACGGCAUCGUCCGUCGCUCGGCCAAUGCCUCGACCACCUCCCCUCCUCGGAGUGGGUGGGGGCUCGGGGUAAAAGAACCCACGGCGCCGAAGGCGUCAAGGAACACUGUGCCUAACCCGGGGGCAUGGCUAGCUUGCUAGCCAUCCCUCGCGUUGCAAAGCUAUUUAAUCCACACGACUCUCGGCAACGGAUAUCUCGGCUCUCGCAUCGAUGAAGAACGUAGCGAAAUGCGAUACCUGGUGUGAAUUGCAGAAUCCCGCGAACCAUCGAGUCUUUGAACGCAAGUUGCGCCCGAGGCCACUCGGCCGAGGGCACGCCUGCCUGGGCGUCACGCCAAAACACGCUCCCAACACCCCUCAUCGGGAAUCGGGAUGCGGCAUCUGGUCCCUCGUCUCGCAAGGGGCGGUGGACCGAAGAUCGGGCUGCCGGCGUACCGCGCCGGACACAGCGCAUGGUGGGCGUCCUCGCUUUAUCAACGCAGUGCAUCCGACGCGCAGCCGGCAUGAUGGCCUCAAAACGACCCAGCAAACGAAGCGCACGUCGCUUCGACCGCGACCCCAGGUCAGGCGGGACUACCCGCUGAGUUUAAGCAUAUCAAUAAGCGGAGGA
rnacentral:rRNA from 1 species